rnacentral:lncRNA from 13 species
UGCUGUUACAGCAGAACUGAAGAUUUGGGCAAGGGAGCUAACGAUUACGUUCUGCUUCAGGUCAGAGAUGGGCUGGGAAAGCCACUCCAAAGUCAAGGCAAGCAGUUUCUUGGAAAAAAAAAAAAAAAUGCUGUACGGAGCCCAGAGUGGCCUGGAUCCUGCCUCAUUUCCUGGACCAGCUCCUUAGGUGGUUACUAGAUGGCCAAUAAAGCAGAGCUUAUUAAGGGCCGAGAGCUCGGCUUCAUUGCUGCUGUGGUAUCCAAGCAUGAGUCUGUCUGGGAUUUCAUUUGCUUGAUGGACAAAGGAGAGGAUGUUCCAAUACAUAUCCUGAGUGGUGGGGGUGGGGAGGAAAGGGGAAGAGUUCUCUCUAGAGACUUCUCUUUGUCCUCUGAUGUAAGUAGAGGUCGUGUUUUCCCUAACCACACUCAGUGAUCUGAAUCUCUUGGACUCUGGAUUUUUCCUUUACCUGCUGUGAAGCCUUGAAAAGUAUGAAUCAGCUAGAUAAUGGCGCUGUGUACACAAGGAUCCCCUAACGAUGUGCAAGAGUUAAAGAUGUGUUUAAGGUCUUCAGGCAAUCCAAUAUGACCACAGGUUUCCAAAAUUUCAAAGGAAACUGAAAAUCAUAGUUCCCAAACCAGAUAUUUUCUGGUGUCCAGAUGUUCAUGGCAUGCAAACCAAAUGUCUGGAUUAUGAGCUCACUUUUUUCAUUUCUUUUUUUCAGCUUACAUCCAGAUGUUGGGUCCAACUGCUCAGAUGCCUGGAGCAGAGACAGAAAUCAAAUCUAGGAUGUUCAUCUAGGGUCUCUGGCUCCUCCAUUUCUGCUUCCUCCUCAUGCUGCUCCCCACAUCCUCCCCGACUCACCUUCAUGCUGCAUCGCAGCAAAUACAUCUCACAUCCUGACAUGGUGCUGCCCUUGACAGCUGGGUCCACAAAGGCAGAUGUUCUGCCAAUGGAAUGGAAAUUGUCCAGAGUGGGGAGCAGAGAGCCUCAUCUUGUCUGGAAUUGGACAUCCAUCCGUAAGGCCAAAGUUCUCCCACCACCAACUUUAAGUCCUGCUGUAUCCUUCUCCCUCCCUUUUCAAAACCCUUUCCACCCAAGAAGGGAGAUUUUGAAGCCAGGACUGUACCAGCCACACCUCCCCAGAGUUGUUAAGGAAGGAACCUGAAAUCAGGGGCAGUCCUCUGGCAAUCACCCCACUACCAAGAGCAGGACAGUUGUGUUUCUGCUGGACAGUAUCCCCAGAGGUUGCAUGAUUCAGGCUACCAAGGGUACCUGCCUUUGGGAAUUCAACUCCUGAAGGUAAGUUGGGAUUAAGCCCUGAGAAGAUCUGUGGAAGCCCAGAGGACCCUGCCUCUCUCUGUUGCUUCAUGCUGUUGAGGUGGUACUGGGGAGGGCUUGCUCACAUCCAGGACCAUAUGUUUGAUGACACUCUGCUCCCUCAGUGUGGAGCCUCACCCUCAUCUCACAGUCCAGGAGGCCUCUGGUAGGAUGGGCUUGUCUCACCUAGUGUGUGAGUUUUUUUGGAAGUAGCCUGAUUUUGGAGUUUCCCUCCAAGCCUUUCCUAGCCACUUGCUUUCUCUCUCAUUCUCCCUUUUUUCUAUCUUCUGAAGUCUGCUUUUCUCCUUUUUUCCCUCUCGUCUCCAUCUCUUUUCCUGCCUCUCAUUUCUCUUUAUUUCUCCCCACAUUUCACUCUGUUCUCUCACCCCUCCCCUUCCCUUCUGUUUCUCUCCCUCCCUCCCUCCCUCCCCACCCCCUGCCUGGCCUUCCAUAUAUUAAGCAGAGUUUUAUCACCUUACACAGGGGCAGCCCUGCCACCUGCCAUAGAGUUGAUAGGCUAAUGACAGUUUGUGGAUAUUGCCAUGUCACAAGUGUAGGGACAGCCUCAAAAAUAGCCCUGAUGUCUAAACCACUUAAGCCACCUUUUUUAUUUUUAAAAGGAAUACAUUCACAUGGUUUUAAGAAACUGUAAAAAUGUAUAAAGUAAAAAACUCUUUCUCUCACACUCUCUCCACCUCUCCUGGUCUCACCAUUGUGCUCAGGGGAAACUAUUGUGAUUAGUUUCUUCUGUGUCCUUCCAGAGUGUCUUUAUGCAAAUGAAAAUUACUGUGAUAAUAUAUUCCUAUUUCCCCCUCACUACACAAAAGAUGGACUACCAUAAUCCCAUUCUGCACUUUUUUUCACUUAAUAAUAAAAACCCGAUUUUAUUAAUGGAUAUUGAUGGA